GACGAACGCUGGCGGCGUGCCUAAUACAUGCAAGUCGAGCGGACCAAACAGGAGCUUGCUCUUGUUUGGUUAGCGGCGGACGGGUGAGUAACACGUGGGUAACCUACCCGUAAGACCGGGAUAACUCCGGGAAACCGGAGCUAAUACCGGAUAACACCGAAGACCGCAUGGUCUUUGGUUGAAAGGCGGCUUCGGCUGUCACUUACGGAUGGGCCCGCGGCGCAUUAGCUAGUUGGUGAGGUAACGGCUCACCAAGGCGACGAUGCGUAGCCGGCCUGAGAGGGUGACCGGCCACACUGGGACCUGAGACACGGCCCAGACUCCUACGGGUGGCAG
rnacentral:rRNA from 1 species